GCCUCAGUAACUGCGAGUGAGCGGCAAAAGCUCAAAUUUGAAAUCUGGCUCCUUCGGGGUCCGAGUUGUAAUUUGGAGGGGCAUCUUCGGGGUCGGCGCCGUCCUAAGUUCCUUGGAACAGGACGUCACAGAGGGUGAGAAUCCCGUGCCUGGGCGGCUGCCCGAUUCCAUGUGAAGUGCCUCCGACGAGUCGAGUUGUUUGGGAAUGCAGCUCAAAAUGGGUGGUAAAUUUCAUCUAAAGCUAAAUAUUGGCGAGAGACCGAUAGCGCACAAGUAGAGUGAUCGAAAGAUGAAAAGCACUUUGAAAAGAGAGUUAAACAGUACGUGAAAUUGUUGAAAGGGAAGCGCUUGCGACCAGACUCGGUCUUUGGGGGUCAUCCGGGUUUCGGCCUGGUGCCAUCCCCAUUGAUCGGGCCAGCAUCGGUUCCGGCGGCGGGAUAAAAGGUGAGGGAAUGUGGCUCUCUUGGGGAGUGUUAUAGCCCUUGCCACAAUGCCGCCAGCUGGGACCGAGGACCGCGCUUCGGCUAGGAUGCUGGCGUAAUGGUCUUAAGCGACCCGUCUUGAAACACGGACCAAGGAGUCUAACAUCUAUGCGAGUGUUCGGGUGGAAAACCCUUGCGCGUAAUGAAAGUGAACGGAGGUGGGAACCCCUCACGGGGUGCACCAUCGACCGGUCCUGAUGUCUUCGGAAGGAUCUGAGUAAGAGCAUAGCUGUUGGGACCCGAAAGAUGGUGAACUAUGCCUGAAUAGGGUGAAGCCAGAGGAAACUCUGGUGGAGGCUCGCAGCGGUUCUGACGUGCAAAUCGAUCGUCAAAUUUGGGUAUAGGGGCGAAAGACUAAUCGAACCAUCUAGUAGCUGGUUCCUGCCGAAG
rnacentral:rRNA from 1 species